UGUUUAGUUUAUGUGUUCCACCUUAAGAAAGAAAGAGAUGUUCCACCUUAACAAAGAAAUGUCAUUGUUGAUAAAGUUUGUUCAAGUUAGUGAGGUCACUUCCUGAAAAGGUUAAGAAGAGAAGGCUAAGAGAGACACAUGGUUCAGAGGUUCUCAUCAUCCAAUGCCAUCUGCAUUUAAGAUAGACAAACAAAUGUCUUUUUACUCCCUGUUCACUGAAAGAGUCCAGUAAAACGACUAAACUUUA